rnacentral:rRNA from 1 species
UGGGGAAUUUUGGACAAUUGGGCGAAAGCCUGAUCCAGCAAUGCCGCGUGUGUGAAGAAGGCCUUCGGGUUGUAAAGCACUUUUGUCCGGAAAGAAAUCCUUGGCUCUAAUACAGUCGGGGGAUGACGGUACCGGAAGAAUAAGCACCGGCUAACUACGUGCCAGCAGCCGCGGUAAUACGUAAGGUGCAAGCGUUAAUCGGAAUUACUGGGCGUAAAGCGUGCGCAGGCGGUUUGCUAAGACCGAUGUGAAAUCCCCGGGCUCAACCUGGGAACUGCAUUGGUGACUGGCAGGCUAGAGUAUGGCAGAGGGGGGUAGAAUUCCACGUGUAGCAGUGAAAUGCGUAGAGAUGUGGAGGAAUACCGAUGGCGAAGGCAGCCCCCUGGGCCAAUACUGACGCUCAUGCACGAAAGCGUGGGGAGCAAACAGGAUUAGAUACCCUGGUAGUCCACGCCCUAAACGAUGUCAACUAGUUGUUGGGGAUUCAUUUCCUUAGUAACGUAGCUAACGCGUGAAGUUGACCGCCUGGGGAGUACGGUCGCAAGAUUAAAACUCAAAUGAAUUGNGGCGG